GUCAGGGUUCGAACAUUGUUCGACCCGAAACAAGUUUUCUAAAGUCCAAACACGCCAAAACACAAAAACACAAACGCUUUAGGCUUUAGCCCCAAAAACACGAACAGUCGAACACAACCUCGUCGGCUCCGCCUUCUUCUCCGACGAGUGCGCCUUCUCGUGGAGUCCAUUGCCGCCCUCCGAUCGACGCGCCUCCGCCUUGCCGUCGCCGUCGCCACCCCUCGCCUCCGCCUCGCCGACGCCGGAACCCUUGCCGCCUCGUGCGGCCAACCAUCGUCGACAGCUCGGGGACAGGGUUUGCUCGGCGAUCAUGGCGCUCGCUUCUCGCCUCGUUUCCAAGUCCCGGCAGGUUAAAAGUUAAGUUGAAGCAGCUAGUUGAGCAGUAUUUGCUUUCUGAACAACAUCAUGAACAUGAGGGAAGUCUCGGGGACAUCAAGUCAAACCUUGUGAGGCCAAUCAAAUGGUAAACUGGCAUAGUCCUACUAUGAAGCUCAUCUUUUAGAAGAACAAGAUGUGAUCCAAGAUAUCAUUCUGUCUGUGUU